AUUGAACGCUGGCGGCAGGCCUAACACAUGCAAGUCGAACGAGUGGCGGACGGGUGAGUAAUGUCUGGGAAACUGCCUGAUGGAGGGGGAUAACUACUGGAAAAGGUAGCUAAUACCGCAUACAAUCAGAUGUGCCCAGAUGGGAUUAGAUAGUCGGUGGGGAAAAGGCUCACCUAGGCGACGAUCCCUAGCUGGUCUGAGAGGAUGACCAGCCACACUGGAACUGAGACACGGUCCAGACUCCUACGGGAGGCAGCAUGGGGUAAUAUUGCACAAUGGGCGCAAGCCUGAUGCAGCCAUGCCGCGUGUAGGAAUAAGGCCUUCGGGUUGUAAAGUACUUUCAGCGGGGAGGCGUUACCCGCAGAAGAAGCACCGGCUAACUCCGUGCCAGCAGCCGCGGUAAUUC
rnacentral:rRNA from 1 species